UUCAAAAGCUUUUCUAGGGCACUGGU
rnacentral:piRNA from 1 species